rnacentral:rRNA from 1 species
GACGAACGCUGGCGGCGUGCUUAACACAUGCAAGUCGAACGGAAAGGCCCUGCUUUUGUGGGGUGCUCGAGUGGCGAACGGGUGAGUAACACGUGAGUAACCUGCCCUUGACUUUGGGAUAACUUCAGGAAACUGGGGCUAAUACCGGAUAGGAGCUCCUGCUGCAUGGUGGGGGUUGGAAAGUUUCGGCGGUUGGGGAUGGACUCGCGGCUUAUCAGCUUGUUGGUGGGGUAGUGGCUUACCAAGGCUUUGACGGGUAGCCGGCCUGAGAGGGUGACCGGCCACAUUGGGACUGAGAGACGGCCCAGACUCCUACGGGAGGCAGCAGUGGGGAAUAAUGCACAAUGGGCGGAAGCCUGAUGCAGCAACGCCGCGUGCGGGAUGACGGCCUUCGGGUUGUAAACCGCUUUCGCCUGUGACGAAGCGUGAGUGACGGUAAUGGGUAAAGAAGCACCGGCUAACUACG